UCCCUCUUAGCUCAGUUGGUAGAGCGCGUCACUAGUAUUCAAUUCGGGUCAUGAAAGUUGAUGACAAGGUCAGUCGUUCAAGUCGGCUAGAGGGAA